rnacentral:rRNA from 1 species
GUGAGGAAUAUUGGACAAUGGACGCAAGUCUGAUCCAGCCAUGCCGCGUGAAGGAUUAAGGUCCUCUGGAUUGUAAACUUCUUUUAUAAGGGACGAAAAAAGGCUUUUCUAAGUCGUCUGACGGUACCUUAUGAAUAAGCACCGGCUAACUCCGUGCCAGCAGCCGCGGUAAUACGGAGGGUGCAAGCGUUAUCCGGAUUCACUGGGUUUAAAGGGUGCGUAGGCGGGCAGGUAAGUCAGUGGUGAAAUCCUAGAGCUUAACUCUAGAACUGCCAUUGAUACUAUCUGUCUUGAAUAUUGUGGAGGUAAGCGGAAUAUGUCAUGUAGCGGUGAAAUGCUUAGAUAUGACAUAGAACACCUAUUGCGAAGGCAGCUUACUACGCAUAUAUUGACGCUGAGGCACGAAAGCGUGGGGAUCAAACAGGAUUAGAAACCCUAGUAGUCC